rnacentral:rRNA from 1 species
UUAAUCGUCACCACAUGCAGUCACCAUAAACCACUGCACGCCAGAGAAGUACAAGCGAAAAGCUAGAAACUCAAAGGACUUGGCGGUGUCCCAUAUCAACCUAGAGGAGCCUGUCCAAUAAUCGAUACUCCACGUUAAACCCAACCUGCAUUCGCCUGCCAGCCUAUAUACCGCCGUCGCCAGCCUGCCUAAUGAUAGUCACAACGCAGGCAAAAGAGGCCCCCCCUCCUAAUACGUCAGGUCAAGGUGUAGCUAAUAUACAGGUCACAGAUGGGCUACAUUUUCUUAAUACAAGAAAACCACCGCAUGCACCAUGAAACACAGGCAGAAAGGCGGAUUUAGUAGUAAGUUGGACAAGAAAGUCCGGCUGAAACUUGCUCUGGGACAC